rnacentral:tRNA from 1 species
GGUUUCAUAGUGUAGUGGUUAGCACACCUGCUUUACAUGCAGAAGGUCCUGGGUUCAUGCCCCAGUGGAGCCA